rnacentral:rRNA from 1 species
AUGGCCAAGUCACAGGCAUUGGCAGCAACAUUGUUGCUUGUCGUGGUGGUGUCCCUUGCCGCAAUAGAGAGUGUUCAUGGCGUUUGCGGCAUGUCGAAUGACGAAUUCAAGCUUUGUCAGCCUGCGGCGGCAGUGAAUAACCCGACAAAUAGUCCAUCUGCUGAGUGUUGUGCCGCGCUAGGAAAGACAAACCUAUCGUGCAUCUGCCGCUACAAAGGCAUGGCCGGCAUAUGGCUGAAAAUGUAUCAUAUUGACGCACGUCGUGCCAUGGCACUACCAGGCAAGUGCGGACUUACCAUGCCAAGCAACUGCUCUUGAUGA